UACGUAGGGUGCAAGCGUUAAUCGGAAUUACUGGGCGUAAAGCGUGCGCAGGCGGUGAUGUAAGACAGGUGUGAAAUCCCCGGGCUUAACCUGGGAACUGCAUUUGUGACUGCAUCGCUGGAGUGCGGCAGAGGGGGAUGGAAUUCCGCGUGUAGCAGUGAAAUGCGUAGAUAUGCGGAAGAACACCGGUGGCGAAGGCGGCGCUCUGGACCGAGACUGACGCUGAGGCGCGAAAGCGUGGGGAGCAAACAGG
rnacentral:rRNA from 1 species